AGAGUUUGAUCCUGGCUCAGGACGAACGCUGGCGGCGUGCCUAACACAUGCAAGUCGAACGGAACUGUUUUGAAAGAUUUCUUCGGAAUGAAUUUGAUUUAGUUUAGUGGCGGACGGGUGAGUAACGCGUGAGUAACCUGCCUUCAAGAGGGGGAUAACAUUCUGAAAAGAAUGCUAAUACCGCAUGACAUAUCGGAACCACAUGGUUUUGAUAUCAAAGAUUUUAUCGCUUGAAGAUGGACUCGCGUCCGAUUAGUUAGUUGGUGAGGUAACGGCUCACCAAGACCGCGAUCGGUAGCCGGACUGAGAGGUUGAACGGCCACAUUGGGACUGAGACACGGCCCAGACUCCUACGGGAGGCAGCAGUGGGGGAUAUUGCGCAAUGGGGGCAACCCUGACGCAGCAACGCCGCGUGAAGGAUGAAGGUUUUCGGAUUGUAAACUUCUUUUAUUAAGGACGAAAAAUGACGGUACUUAAUGAAUAAGCUCCGGCUAACUACGUGCCAGCAGCCGCGGUAAUACGUAGGGAGCAAGCGUUGUCCGGAUUUACUGGGUGUAAAGGGUGCGUAGGCGGCUUUGCAAGUCAGAUGUGAAAUCUAUGGGCUCAACCCAUAAACUGCAUUUGAAACUGUAGAGCUUGAGUGAAGUAGAGGCAGGCGGAAUUCCCCGUGUAGCGGUGAAAUGCGUAGAGAUGGGGAGGAACACCAGUGGCGAAGGCGGCCUGCUGGGCUUUAACUGACGCUGAGGCACGAAAGCGUGGGUAGCAAACAGGAUUAGAUACCCUGGUAGUCCACGCUGUAAACGAUGAUUACUAGGUGUGGGGGGUCUGACCCCUUCCGUGCCGGAGUUAACACAAUAAGUAAUCCACCUGGGGAGUACGGCCGCAAGGUUGAAACUCAA
rnacentral:rRNA from 1 species